rfam:Ictidomys tridecemlineatus contig015536, whole genome shotgun sequence.
AGCUUUGCGCAGUGGCAGUAUCGUAGCCAAUGAGGUUUAUCCGAGGCACGAUUAUUGCUAAUUGAAAACUAGAACAUCUUGCUGUUAUCUAACUGUAACUUAGUACCCAUUGAUCAACCUUUCUCUAUCCCUCCCACCCUCCAAUGUUACCUUUUGGAAAUUUUUAAAGAAUUUUAAAGUU